AUGAACGCUGGCGGCGUGCCUAAUACAUGCAAGUCGAGCGAACGGACGAGAAGCUUGCUUCUCUGAUGUUAGCGGCGGACGGGUGAGUAACACGUGGAUAACCUACCUAUAAGACUGGGAUAACUUCGGGAAACCGGAGCUAAUACCGGAUAAUAUUUUGAACCGCAUGGUUCAAAAGUGAAAGACGGUCUUGCUGUCACUUAUAGAUGGAUCCGCGCUGCAUUAGCUAGUUGGUAAGGUAACGGCUUACCAAGGCAACGAUGCAUAGCCGACCUGAGAGGGUGAUCGGCCACACUGGAACUGAGACACGGUCCAGACUCCUACGGGAGGCAGCAGUAGGGAAUCUUCCGCAAUGGGCGAAAGCCUGACGGAGCAACGCCGCGUGAGUGAUGAAGGUCUUCGGAUCGUAAAACUCUGUUAUCAGGGAAGAACAUAUGUGUAAGUAACUGUGCACAUCUUGACGGUACCUAAUCAGAAAGCCACGGCUAACUACGUG
rnacentral:rRNA from 1 species